ensembl:lncRNA
CAGAGGGCGCUCUGUUGAACAGGAACAUGCCUUGACUUGUACCGGCUUGUCUGAAGGGAGCUCUGGCUUGUGGUCAACAGCAGCUGCUGUGUGCAUUUCACUCAGCGCUGACCCGGCAAGAGGACAACAACAGCUCAAACCUUCUGCUUUCUGGGAAUACUGGACAAACACAGGUAUCUCUGUAUAUCUGCGCUGACCAAACUGACGGCCUUACAGCCCUCAGACGAGCUUGUUUACCGGAGGACUUCCCUUCACUGGAAAGCCCCUCAACUUCACCCACAGUUCAGAUCGUCAUUAGAACACACAAAGAAGGCUCAGCCUGCUCUGACGACAGAAACCACGGGCAUAGUAGUGGCUUCAGCAGAUGUCCUUGUCAGGAGUAGAAGAUCAGCGCAGACGCUGAGGUGAGUAUCCUAUCACACUCACUUACCCUUCAGCCUGUCUCUCUUCUCUCUAUCCUUCUAUCUCUUACUC